UACGAAGGGGGCUAGCGUUGCUCGGAAUCACUGGGCGUAAAGGGCGCGUAGGCGGACUCUUAAGUCGGGGGUGAAAGCCCAGGGCUCAACCCUGGAAUUGCCUUCGAUACUGAGAGUCUUGAGUUCGGAAGAGGUUGGUGGAACUGCGAGUGUAGAGGUGAAAUUCGUAGAUAUUCGCAAGAACACCAGUGGCGAAGGCGGCUUACUGGUCCGGUUCUGACGCUGAGGCGCGAAAGCGUGGGGAGCAAACAGG
rnacentral:rRNA from 1 species